rnacentral:rRNA from 1 species
CAGGAUGAACGCUGGCGGCGUGCCUAACACAUGCAAGUCGAACGGAGAACCCGCCCUCGGGCGGUUAUGAAGUGGCGAACGGGUGAGUAACACGUGACCAACCCUGCCCCGCGCUCAGGGACAGCCUCGGGAAACCGGGAUUAAUACCUGAUGCGCCCCCGCCCCCGCCGAUGGGGGAGGGGGGAAAGGCCCGAAGCGGCGCGGGAUGGGGUCGCGGCCCAUCAGGUAGACGGCCGGGUAGAGGCCGGCCGUGCCGACGACGGGUAGCCGGGUUGAGAGACCGACCGGCCACAUUGGGACUGAGAUACGGCCCAGACUCCUACGGGAGGCAGCAGUGGGGAAUAUUGCGCAAUGGGGGGAAAAACCCCCUGACGCAGCAACGCCGCGUGCGGGACGACGGCCCUCGGGUUGUAAACCGCUUUCAGCAGGGAAGACAUCGACGGUACCUGCAGAAGAAGCCCCGGCUAACUACGUGCCAGCCGCCGC